rnacentral:lncRNA from 1 species
UGUGAUGGAGAGAGAAGGCAGGGGAGCGCGGCGGCGGCUGUGUCAACGGGAGAGAGAGGGGAGCAUGUUGUGGCCAUCUCCAGGUCAAAGGACGACGAACACACCAUCCAGAGUGACAAAAUCAUGUCGGCAUCGUCUAUAAGUUCGUUUCAUAGCAAAAUUUACACUCUCAUACACCAAAUCUCCCUCAUCUGCUGCUCCAGCCGGUUCCGUGCGGCCGAUCGCCUCCCUUAGGCCGGUGAGUCCACAAUGGACGAUGCCUCCUCCAACCACGUUUGGUACAUGUGGUCCUGGUCAAGGUAAUCACCCAUCAUCUACGCUCUCAACCUAGCGAGGCUCUGCAGAUUGGUCGACAUUAACAAAUUCUACGGAUGCCAGUGCCUUCGCUUCAGCCUCGGGUUUUGUUCCUCCAGGCGCGUCUGCGUUGCAACAGAUCAUGAUGAGGAGACUCAAUUCCCUAGCAAUUUAUUUUAUUUUAUAGGUACGUAUAUGUUCUAUGCAAAUUAUUUUAUACAGUACCUAAUGACAGGGAGCAUCCUCAGCAAAGUAGCAUAUAAUAUUAAAUAUAUAUAGUUUUACCAAUCCAAGUAUGCUAUCCACCGAAUUCACCAUCCUUAUAUUAGAUGAUCCUUUGUGCAAUUCAACGAGCUCAGAUAAUGGUGCAGUUCAUGAGUUCUUAAUCGAUCCAACUGCCAACUUCUAAUCUAUGACAUUAGUUAUGUUCCAGUGCCAUUGUAAUAGCUAACAUAGCAGGCUAUGUAAUUUUAUACAUUUAAAUAUGAAAAGACUCAUCAACACUCUGUCCUCUCUUUUGUUCUCUUGCGCCCAGAGAGAUGGUAGAGGUCAGUCAUAGAGAGGUCUGCAUCGAGGUACAUAUGUACAACAUCCAUUCGGUUGAGUUGGCGUAGAGGAGAAAGCUCAUGUGUGGAAGGGAAGUUGCAUUUGUAAUGGAUGCAAGCAAACAAUGCUUUAUUACAGAAGCAAGACUUUAUCGAAAAAAAUUUACAGAAGCCGCCACAACAUGGUAAGUAGGAGCAUGAUGAAAUCGAAUAACGAGGAGUUCUGGAUCCCUCUCUCUCCCUGUGUGUGUGUGUGCGCGUGUGUGUUCUUUUUGUAUAAUUUUGUUGGAUAUUCCUUUAAUUCAUUAUGUGAUAGUAGCUCAUUGGUGCUAAAUUUUACAUCCACGUUAAAUU